UCAAAGACGGCCCCCAUGCGUCAGAAGAGCAGCAAACCAUCCCGAAGGAGCAGCAGAGCCCAGUGUUGGUACUGUGGACUGGCUUGGAAGAGGACUACUGAGUAGAUAGAAAGAGGUCAACCCCAUCCAACCUCAGCAACUACUGUACUAGCAUGGCUACGGCAAGCACCUCAGGGCAGAGCACCUUCGGGCUCGGGAGGAAAAAGAAGAACCCUGGUCUCAUGGAUCAGAUCACCAAGUUCUUUGGGGGAGACAAAAAGAAAAGGAGCAAGGGCUCGUUCCGGGGUCACCUGGCCACCUCACCCCAGUCCUCCGCUCGCCGCCGGACCAAAGAAAAUGCUGUGGUGCAUUUCUUCAGGAGCAUUGUUUCCUCUCCUCGUCCUAAAUCCAGGGCCUCGUCGCCGCGUGCUGAGAGCACAAAGUCGCCGGUCAGAAGACGCAGAGACCAAAGCACACUGUCCAGGAUCUUCAGCCUGGUGAGCUUACUGCACGUUUGCCUCAUUGUUUUACUCAACAUUUCCUCUUUCGAUCUGUAAAACUGGGCUUCAUAAACACUGUUUCCUGUCUGUGUUUGCCCAAAUGCAACAGUGAUGCUCUCAGCAGAGAUCAGGAGAAACCAAGUCCCGUCCACCCCCUAAACGCUGGAGCACCAUCUUCUAAGCUCUCCGCCGAGGACCACACCACAGAUCCAACGCCGAUGGGACAGGACAAAGGAGGGGAAACAGAUCUGCAAGCGGCGGACUCACAACCUCAAGAAAUGUUAACCCACUAACACCAUCCUCCUGUAUGUUUAGACACUGACAUUGACAGAGUAUGAAACCACUCUCCAGGGAUGUAGCUGGUCACUGUGCCUUUUAUUUUCUUCUUUUUUUUUUUUUUAAAUCCUACUUCUACGGAUAUCUUGUCUAGCUGUUUAUAAGAGGUUUGGUCAUGCUUUUAGUUAUCUUACUGUAAAAACUCUCCCAUUUGAGUAUCUUGUCUGAUGGUGCUAGUGUGUGCUGUCUGAGGUUUGUUCAUUUGUUCAGCAUAUGGCAGAUGCUUGUUUUUCUAUUUGUCUCCUGUCAUCUGCGUUUUGUACAUAAGUGACGCUUUAUGUAUGUCGCUUUUUAGAAACACCACUCACACACCAAACGUGAAAUCUAGACAAAGAGUGGUCCUGUUUGUGGCUGUUGUGCUCGAGUGAAACGUAUGUUGCAAAGCAUGUGAAAACACACCUG